AGUGAACGCUGGCGGUAGGCCUAACACAUGCAAGUCGAACGGCAGCACGGUAAGAGCUUGCUCUUACGGGUGGCGAGUGGCGGACGGGUGAGGAAUACAUCGGAAUCUACUUUUUCGUGGGGGAUAACGUAGGGAAACUUACGCUAAUACCGCAUACGACCUACGGGUGAAAGCAGGGGAUCUUCGGACCUUGCGCGAUUGAAUGAGCCGAUGUCGGAUUAGCUAGUUGGCGGGGUAAAGGCCCACCAAGGCGACGAUCCGUAGCUGGUCUGAGAGGAUGAUCAGCCACACUGGAACUGAGACACGGUCCAGACUCCUACGGGAGGCAGCAGUGGGGAAUAUUGGACAAUGGGCGCAAGCCUGAUCCAGCCAUACCGCGUGGGUGAAGAAGGCCUUCGGGUUGUAAAGCCCUUUUGUUGGGAAAGAAAAGCAGCAGGUUAAUACCCCGCUGUUCUGACGGUACCCAAAGAAUAAGCACCGGCUAACUUCGCG
rnacentral:rRNA from 1 species